AUCCCAGAUAAACGUUUUUGUGUUUACCUGAUUCAUGGAAGGCGUACAUUAACAUUGGGAGCUCGCUGAUGACACCUUUUUUGUUUCCAGGGGGUGUUUUAAUAGUAUCUUGCCAAACACAU